rnacentral:rRNA from 1 species
CAGCCGCCGCGGUAAUACGUAGGUGGCAAGCGUUGUCCGGAAUUAUUGGGCGUAAAGCGCACGUAGGCGGUUAUUCAAGUCAGGGGUGAAAUCCCGGGGCUCAACCUCGGAACUGCCUUUGAUACUGGCGAUCUUGAGUAUGGGAGAGGUGUGUGGAACUCCGAGUGUAGAGGUGAAAUUCGUAGAUAUUCGGAAGAACACCAGUGGCGAAGGCGACACACUGGCCCAUUACUGACGCUGAGGCUCGAAAGCGUGGGGAGCAAACAGGAUUAGAUACCCCCGUAGUCCCUGUCUCUUAUAC